AGAGGUUUGAUCCUGGCUCAGAACGAACGCUGGCGGCAUGCCUAACACAUGCAAGUCGAACGAGACCUUCGGGUCUAGUGGCGCACGGGUGCGUAACGCGUGGGAACCUGCCUUAGGUUCGGAAUAACUCAGAGAAAUUUGAGCUAAUACCGGAUAAUGUCUUCGGACCAAAGAUUUAUCGCCUUUAGAUGGGCCCGCGUAAGAUUAGCUAGUUGGUGGGGUAAAAGGCCUACCAAGGCGACGAUCUUUAGCUGGUCUGAGAGGAUGAUCAGCCACACUGGGACUGAGACACGGCCCAGACUCCUACGGGAGGCAGCAGUGGGGAAUAUUGGACAAUGGGCGAAAGCCUGAUCCAGCAAUGCCGCGUGAGUGAUGAAGGCCUUAGGGUUGUAAAGCUCUUUACCCGAGAUGAUAAUGACAGUAUCGGGAGAAUAAGCUCCGGCUAACUCCGUG
rnacentral:rRNA from 1 species